rnacentral:rRNA from 1 species
CGUCAAAUCAUCAUGCCCCUUAUGUUCUGGGCUACACACGUGCUACAAUGGCCGGUACAGACGGAGGCGAAGCCGCGAGGCGGAGCAAAACCGAAAAAGCCGGUCUCAGUUCGGAUUGCAGGCUGCAAUUCGCCUGCAUGAAGUCGGAAUCGCUAGUAAUCGCAGGUCAGCAUACUGCGGUGAAUACGUUCCCGGGCCUU